AUGGAGAGGAAACUGAGAGCUGUGCUGGGGAUUCUGUGGGUGCAGAUUUGCUGGGUGAGAGGAGUUGAGGUGGAGCAGAGUCCUUCAAACCUGAGUCUCCAAGAGGGAACCAGUUCUGUUCUCACAUGCAACUUUUCUACAAGCAUGAGAAGUGUGCAGUGGUUCCGGCAGAAUUCCAGGGGAAGCCUCAUCAAUCUUUUCUAUCUGUCUCCGGGAACACAGCAGAAUGGGAGGUUAAACUCAACCUUCAACUCUAAGGAGCGCAAGAGCACCCUUCACAUCAGGGAUGCCCAGCUGGAGGACUCUGGCACCUACCUCUGUGCAGCAGAGCAUGGUGGUAGAAGACUCAUCUUUGGGACCGGCACUCUGCUUUCUGUCAAGCCAAACAUCCCGGACCCAAAACCAGCUGUGUACCAGCUAAGAGAUGCUCAGGCCAAGAACAGCACCAUCUGCCUGUUCACCGACUUCAGUUCCCAAGUCAACAAGUCAGAGGACAUGCCACCUGAAGUGUUUGUCUCCAAAAACACCGUGCUGGACAUGCGGUCUAUGGAUUCCAAGAGCAAUGGGGCCAUUGCCUGGAGUGACCACAGUAGUUUGAACUGUAAAGACGCCUUCAGACAGAAUGCCUCCUACCCCAGCUCAGAUGUUCCCUGUGAUGCCAAGUUGAUAGAGAAAAGCUUUGAAACAGAUAUGAACCUCAACUUUCAAAACCUGUCAGUGAUGGGGCUCCGAAUCCUGCUCCUGAAAGUGGCCGGAUUUAACCUGCUCAUGACGCUGCGGCUGUGGUCCAGUUGAGGUUUCCAGACUGAAGGAGGCUGAACUCCCAAGCUCUUUCCUCUCAUCACCCCUCCUCGCCCUCUUCAAGUGAAAAGGAGCCCGCCCACCUCCUAAAGAAGGCUCUCGGGUCUGAGCAGCUCACAACCCCAUCAACUCUGUCUCCUGAAUCUGUGAUGGAGACUGCUGAAGAUCCGCUACUACUCCACUUCCUCACUGCUGCCGGCCACUCAAGACAGGCAGUGGCUGCUGCUUCUCCUGGAUGUGAAGACCCUUCACACACACCCCUGCUCGCCCCCACCCCCAACCCUACCCCCACCCCCACCCCCACCCUCGCGAC